AACAGGGGGCGUAGCUCAGAUGGUAGAGC
rnacentral:piRNA from 1 species